UGCCCUAUAGCUCAAUGGCAGAGCGAGCGGCUGUUAACCGUGAGGUUGCAGGUUCAAGUCCUGCUAGGGCAGCCA
rnacentral:tRNA from 2 species